ensembl:lncRNA
AUGUCAUUAAUACAAUAUAUUAUCCAGGUAGGGGUCCAACUCGUUCCACGGAGGGUCUGGCGUCUGCAGGGUUUGGGUUCUUCCUUUCAGGUGAGGGUGGGUUCUUCCUUUCAGGUGAGACCUAGACAACCAGGUGAGGGUGGGUUCUUCCUUUCAGGUGAGGGUGGGUUCAUCAAUCAAGUACAAAGGGGAGGAGGGGAGAGACCCCUUAGACACUCGGCCCUCCGUGGAAUGGGGUUGGGACACGUGAUCCAGACCAUCAUCAAAAGCAUUAGAGUACAAAAACUGUUUUUAUAUUCCAUAAAGCUGUGUUUUAACAGAAUUUAUAACAAGGUAAUGAUCUUGGACUUAAAAUACACAGAACUAAACGAUUUGAUGUUGAAACAUCUCAUCGUAGCGUGUUACGUCCUCUACAAAACAAAAAAACAUUGAAAAGCAACAAAUCCCACAACCAUAUUUUGGUGGACAGGAUAUGAACCAUUUCUUUAUUCCUGAGCGUUCGUCUGACUCGUCUGACAUGUUCGCCACCGACACCGUGACCCGGUCAGGGAGGCUCUCAGCAUUAAGAGCUUUAAACAGCUCAGUUACUCAGGAAUAAAGAGCUCGGAGACACUCGGUUAAGGACAAUAUGACAACGAGUGAAACGACCUAAUGGCAACCUAUUCCCAACACAGGGGCCUAUGGGGCCUGGGCUAUAGUAGUGCACUAUGUAGGGAUUAGGGUGGGUCCUAGUCUAUAGUAGUGCACUAUAUAGGGAUUAGGGUGGGUCCUGGUCUAUAGUAGUGCACUAUAUAUAGGGAAUAGGGUGGCAUUGGUUCCUGGGCUAUAGUAGUGCACUAUAUAUAGGGAUUAGGGUGGGUCCUGGUCUAUAGUAGUGCACUAUAUAGGGAUUAGGGUGGCAUUGGUUCUUUGUCUAUAGUAGUGCACUAUGUAGGGAUUAGGGUGGGUCCUGGUCUAUAGUAGUGCACUAUAUAUAGGGAAUAGGGUGGCAUUUGGAACGUACUGUAGCCCCUCCAGUCUCCUCAACAUUAGUGUUCAUUGCCACAGGUGUUUUGUUGAAAUGUUUAAGAGUAAAUCAAAGUUUAAACCCUCUUCCCUUGUUCUGUGAGAGGGGGAACUGGUUCUUAUUGCACAGAGGACAUUAAACCUUAAAGGCAGUUUGUGGAUGAACAACCUAAAGAGAGAGUACAACAGGUGUGUGUGUGUGUGUGUCUGUACGAGUGUGUGUCAGGGUCUCUGUAAAGGUGUGUGUACAGGUGUGUCUCUGUAAAGGUGUGUGUGUCAGGGUCUCUGUAAAGGUGUGUGUGGGUCAGGGUCUCUGUAAAGGUGUGUGUAUAGGUGUGUCUCUGUAAAGGUGUGUGUGUGUACAGGUGUGUCUCUGUAAAGGUGUGUGUGUCAGGGUCUCUGUAAAGGUGUGUGUGUGUGUGUGUACAGGUGUGUCUCUGUAAAGGUGUGUGUGUGGGUCAGGGUCUCUGUAAAGGUGUGUGUGUGUACAGGUGUGUCUCUGUAAAGGUGUGUGUCAGUGGAAGCCGAUGCGCAGCGCCUUGUUCUUGACCAUGGUGAACUUGGAGACGAACACGGCGGCGUGGGCGGGGCUGACCAGGUAACGGUAGGUCUUGGUGACGGCGGGCGGAGGCUCGGCCGGGGUGAUGGGAGGAGCCUGCUGGAGGGACGAGGCCGACGGGGAGAGGAACGCAGACGCACGAGUCACAUAGUCCACCAGGCGACCAUACUGCUGCUCUGACAACCACUCCCUCCCACUGUCACCCUGAGGGGAGGGGAUAGGGGGGAGGGGGGGUAUAGAGAGGGGGGGGGGGGAUAGGGGGGGGAGGGGGGUAUAGAGGGGGAGGGGGGGGGGGGGAGGAGGAGGAGAGGGA